CUGUUUCGAUUCAGAAUAAAAUAUCUUUAGUUAAAUCACCCUAUGAAGAAAUAAUUAAAAGAUGUUUUAUUCAUGACCACAAGAUAGACUUAUACCAUCAUAAUUCCUAGAAAUUCCUAUUGUUGUUGGGAACUUUAAUAUAGGGACCCCAUAUUACUUAAUUUGUUGUGGAAAGAGAGAUAGUAUGAAUAUGAGAACUUGAUUUCUGAUGUCUAGUCAUUUGUAGAAUUAUACUUUUCAAAUCUUAAAAUGAUUAGCUAUACUUCUCCUCUGUACCAAGAAUUGAUGUCCUACUAGAGCCAUGCAUGAUAGAUAUAAACUAGCUCAUAGGCUACUUGCUUUGUAUUGAGUUUUGUUAAACCUUAUUGACCUAUGUUGAGAGGAUUAUCAUGCUCCUAAGAUCAAGAUCACAUACACCCACAUAUAUCUGCCAUUCCUACACUGGGAAUGCGCACAAAUAUGCUUUUUCAUCCACUAAAAAUGUUUUACUCCUACACUGGGAGAAAACACAAAAAGAGUCUUAGUAGGAAUAAUUGCUCUAAGUUCUUUAAAAAGUCUUUCUCAAUAUUUUCUGGUUACAGAAGGAGGUAUGAGGCUAUGCAAAAUAAAAGUAUUGAAAAAAGAGAGAAAAAAAGAGAAAAAGGACAAGUGUCCUAGAAAGAAAGAAGAAUAAAAGAUAGCCUAUACCAUCCUGUGCAACGACCAUCAGUGCUAUUAGAGAAAGAAGACAUUUUCCAAAAGAGCAAUGUAGAAUUAGGAUUAGCCACUAUAUAUUCCACACACAUGCACUUCUUGAUCUAAGAGUAUGCUAUUCCCCUCCAUGGAUCUGAGUUUUGACUAAGCAAGAUAUGCAAGGUAGGUAUGCUAUUUCUUUGAAUUACCUUUAACUCCAUAUAAGCCUAUAUAGAGUAGGAUGUAUCUAUUUACUUUGGUGAGUUCCACAAUACCACAUAUAAUGAGUGAUUCGAGUGUGCUACAUGAUGGAGAAGGGUAAGCUAAGUUUUUAUUUGCAAAAAUAUUAUAAAACUCCAAGUGACAGGGCUAAAGGAAAAGAGAACUCUAUUUUGUACUCCUCCAUCCUCAACCUCUCAAAGUUUUAUGGUAGACACUUUGAAUCCCGUAGUACAGGUAUGACUUGGAAUAAAUCUGGUAAUGUCUUGGUUUGAGGUUAUGAUUAAAAUAGUCUAUCUAUCCUUUUUCCUCGAGGACGAGUAAAAGAUAAG
rnacentral:lncRNA from 1 species